UUUGAAUCUUUUCGGUGAAAAAAAAAAGAUUUAUAUAUUUUGACGGGACAGAAAGUUUUAUUUCUUCGAACCCUUAAAAGAGAGUUCAAAAACUACGCGUCUUUCCCAACACAACGAACUUCCUUUCUUAUCACACUUCCCCCCAAAACCCUAAUUCUCUCUCCCUCUCUAAAAACCUCACUCGCUCUCUCUCCUUUUCCUCCUAUCUUUUCAGCCUUUUCACUCUCUCCUUUUUAUCACUUGAAUCAACUCUUCAAUUCUCUUCCAGAAUUCAUUUCUUUUUUCAAUAGAUCUCUGCAGAUCAUUCAAUGGACGAUAGAGAUAAUCUUGAUCCAGGGACCGAGUUCACCAGCGAGUCAAGCUGGACACUCGGUCAUGACUCAGAUAGUGUCAAUUAUUUCUUCUCCAACGAUCGAGAGAACUCCAUACUCAACGAAUUCGGAUGGAAUCUUCAUUCGGACGAACCAUCCCGGUUUAAGGACCUCGAUCGGAUAGAAGCAGAAGAGAGGUCCGAUUCGGCAGGAAACCUAGAGAUUCAGCGAUCAUCAGCAGCUGGUCCGGCAAGGUCUAGUGGUAGAGGCAGUCGUGACGUUUCGACUACGAACUAUCCAUCAGUAUCAUCGAGCUCCAGCGAGGAUCCACCCGAGAAGUCUACGGACUCCGGCGGGAAACCGCCUGAGAUACCGAGUACGGUUAAAAAGAAGGGUCAGAAAAGGAUCCGGCAGCCACGUUUUGCAUUUAUGACCAAAAGCGAAGUUGAUCAUCUUGAAGAUGGAUACAGAUGGCGGAAAUAUGGACAGAAGGCAGUUAAAAAUAGUCCAUUUCCUAGGAGCUACUAUCGCUGCACAAAUAGCAAAUGCACUGUGAAGAAAAGGGUUGAACGGUCGUCUGAAGAUCCCACCAUUGUGAUUACCACAUAUGAAGGCCAGCACUGUCACCAUACUGUUGGUUUUCCUCGAGGAGGAAUCAUUUGUCAUCAAGCUACAUUUUCUAGUCACAUGACUUCUCCAAUGUCGCAAUUUAUUUACCCUGGAAUGCAAUUACCCCGAGAAAAUCCUCCGAGUACUGUGGUGCAGUCACGGCCAUUACCGGUUGAAGCAAGAGAAUGCAGUGUGUCGUCAACACUAACUCCCCAACUUGCAACAGAUGGACUGCUUGGGGACAUUGUGCCUCCUGGAAUGCGAUGAUCAGUGCAGAGAUGGUGUAACCUUGUUGUGGUGGCCCAUGUUCCGUCAGCAGGACGGCAAACUUUAUUUUGUUUAGCCCGUAGUGAGUCCACUUCACUGAGACUCUUCCAAUCCAACCCACUGGCAUGCAGUAUCCGACGUUGAUAUGCAUGUGCUUUUGCAUCAGCCGCGGAAAUAAACGCGCCGGCCGUGGUGUGGUGUGGUAUUUUCCUACUGACAAUUACCUUCUUAUAGCCGAACACGUAUCAUGGUGGGUUCAGCUGACAAUUCAAACCGUACACCAUGACAUUAAAAAUGGUGCCGCGCUAUCCGCUGAAGCGUACGAGAGUUGACAUUCAGAAGCCUAUUUCCUCGGCGAUCUUUUAGCGAUUCCAAGGUGGCCGUUAGACAGCGAGGUCAAGUUUGAUGAUAUCCAUCGUAUCGACAAGAUGUGCUAGAAGGCGAGCUCCCCCAUUAAACCAUUUUCUUAUACGUUUUUACCUCAGAUAUUUGUGUUUUGUCCUUUAACAUUUGUAUUAUUUUUACAUUUUCCUGUUUAGUGAACAUAAAAAAGAAAAUAAUAAUUCAAUA